rnacentral:misc_RNA from 1 species
CGGCUGUUGUGGGGCAGCAUAUUGAGGCUGAGGCUGGGCCUGCUGGUGCGCCAGCGAUGGCGACGAGUGCUGCGACGCCGAGCGCGAAUGCGUCGGCGGGGUACUGGGGCUCGAGUUGGAGUUGGAGUGCGAGGGCGUGGCGUGCCUGCUCUUGUUGUGCUGCAGGCACUCGUGCUGCCCGCUCGCGAGGAGCGCGAGCCCGAUCGCGCCGUGAUCGCCCGAGUGCUGGUAGUGGUACCGAAGGCCAUUCAUGUUCUUAUACCUCCGCUGACACUCCCCAACACCACACGCAUACGGCCUCAGUCUCCUCUCCGCCUCCUUCUCGACCUCCCUCAGCUCCGCGUCGCUCAACGUCACCUCUCCGCCUCCUUCUCGACCUCCCUCAGCUCCGCGUCGCUCAACGUCA